rnacentral:rRNA from 1 species
UACGUAGGGACCAAGCGUUGUUCGGAUUUACUGGGCGUAAAGGGCGCGUAGGCGGCAAUUCAAGUCAUCUGUGAAAUCUCCGGGCUUAACUCGGAACGGUCAGAUGAUACUGCUUUGCUAGAGUGCGGAAGGGGCAAUCGGAAUUCUCGGUGUAGCGGUGAAAUGCGUAGAUAUCUGGAGGAACACCGGUGGCGAAGGCGGCAUUCUGGACCGAAACUGACGCUGAGGCGCGAAAGCCAGGGGAGCAAACGGG